UACGGAGGAUGCGAGCGUUAUCCGGAUUUAUUGGGUUUAAAGGGUGCGUAGGUUGUUUUUUAAGUCAGCGGUGAAAGUUUGUGGCUCAACCAUAAAAUUGCCGUUGAAACUGUCGAGCUUGAGUGAAGUAGAGGUAGGCGGAAUUCCCGGUGUAGCGGUGAAAUGCGUAGAGAUCGGGAGGAACACCAGUGGCGAAGGCGGCCUACUGGGCUUUAACUGACGCUGAGGCACGAAAGCGUGGGUAGCAAACAGG
rnacentral:rRNA from 1 species